GAUGAACGCUAGCGGCAGGCUUAAUACAUGCAAGUCGAGGGGCAGCAUGAUUGUAGCAAUACAAUUGAUGGCGACCGGCAAACGGGUGCGGAACACGUACACAACCUCCCAAUAAGUGGGGAAUAGCCCAGAGAAAUUUGGAUUAAUACCCCGUAACAUAACGAUGUGGCAUCACAUUGUUAUUAUAGAUUUUUCGCUUAUUGAUGGGUGUGCGGCUGAUUAGAUAGCUGGCGGGGUAACGGCCCACCAAGUCUACGAUCAGUAGCUGAUGUGAGGGCAUGAUCAGCCACACGGGCACUGAGACACGGGCCCGACUCCUACGGGAGGCAGCAGUAAGGAAUAUUGGACAAUGGACGCAAGUCUGAUCCAGCCAUGCCGCGUGAAGGAUUAAGGUCCUCUGGAUUGUAAACUUCUUUUAUAAGGGACGAAAAAAGGCUUUUCUAAGUCGUCUGACGGUACCUUAUGAAUAAGCACCGGCUAACUCCGUGCCAGCCGCCGCCGUAAAAC
rnacentral:rRNA from 1 species